GCUCAUUCCUGCUCCACCAGGUUCAGCUGGGGUGACUUGAAGAUGAGACCUGGAAUUACCUGCAGGCUCGCUCACUCAUCAGUGGUGGUGAGCUGCUGCCAGUUGAGACUUUAGCUGGGGUACUUAGCCAGAACGCCUACACACAGCCUCUCCAUGUGACCUGGGCUUCCUCACAACGUCGUCCUUGGAUUCCAAGGGUGAACAUCCCAAGAGAGAGAGCCAGAUGGAACCCUUAUGACCUUGCCUUGGAAAAUCUUAAAGAUCCUUGGAGGUGGCUUGAAAGCCAAUUUUGGGAGCCAGAACUGGAGAGAGGACUGAGGGAGAGUCUUCGAGAGAUCCAGACACUUCCUCACCUCCUAUUUCGACUGCAACAGCUUCCCCUUGAACUUUCUAUAAAUUGGAAUUCUGCGGAGGGAUUGGUUUUAAAAGGGGGUUCUGCUUCUUUUAAAAAAUUAUCUGGCGUAGACCAGUGUGCCAAAAAUAACUGCAGUGUUUAAAUUAAACCAUUAUAGAAUCUACUCUUAAAUUAACUGUUAGACUUCCUAAGACCCAAGGGAGUGAACAAAGUUGGCUGUUGUGAAGAAAGAAGCUGACAAAUGACGUGGCCCCACGUUGAAGCAGCAAAAGAUUCUGGAAGGCAGCUGCUCCAUGGAGCUUUUCUGAGCAUGCUCUCCAAGUCCUAUAGCGGAGUUCCUUAAUUCCUAGAGGACGCUCUUGCAUUCUUGGCUGUUUUCUGUAGUAAGGUGACCACUGACCAUUUUGACUGCUUCAGAUCAGUUUUGUGCUUUGACUUCAAAUGUCAAAGCACAUUUGUAUGUGCUUUGAGAAAUGUAAUGAGAGAUCUGUGUUCACAGGGCACAUAGCAGUUUGAGAAAUGUGCUCAAUAAAUGCUUGUUGUUGAUUGAAUACUUAGUUUUGAAAAUAAUAUUUAACUUUUCUUCUAGAAUACUAACUGGACCCAGAGACUGACCGCAGUCACUUGUGACAGCAUCUAACUAGACAUUGUCCUAUUUUCUCCCUAAAAUCCAACUUCAUUACUUUAUGAAUUUCAACCUAACAUCUACCUGUGCUUAGAGGUUUUGCUUUAAUGGAAGAAACAAUCCAUUAUAUAGACUGCAAAUGUUCUCAUAUUCAUCACAGGUAAAUAAAGGAAACUGUCUUUAGAAUAAAGUUUAUUUUUAUUAAGUAUUAGCUCCUAGUUGUUUAAUUUUUAUAAAGGACUCAUUAGAGGAGCAUCCUUGUUGGUUGGCUGUUUUGAUGUUAUUUUCCUCUUAAUUUUAUCCUAAAAAAGAUAGAGUGUAAAUAAUAAUACUAUAUAUUUGUAUCUUGAUUUGUAGUUUAUCAAAUAUUACAUCUGUUUGUCAUAACAAUCCUGAAAAGUAUGUAUUAUUAUCUCCACUUUAAAGAUGAGUGAAAUAGCUAAAUCACUAGUUCAGUGUCCUAUACCCAGCACCUAGCACUGUUUACCUGCAUUUUUAGGACGGGUGUGUUUAGUUAAGAGACAACGAGUAGGUAACUGUUCUUAACCCUAGAUGUAGGUCUAAUCCCAUUUACUAGCCCAUUUUUAAUGCUGUUUUUAUCUUUUAAUGAAACUGGGCAUGUUCUCUCUAAAUGUUUUUAGAUUUUAAUUUUAAAAGCCUGUUUCCAUCGGGAGAGGAGAGGAAAUCAUUUCCAAAAACUUGAGAAAGUGCCAGGAAAAGCUAAAUGAUUAAUUUCCCAUAAAGCGCAUCAGGCAUUUCAUUUUGCCAAAUGAUUCUGAAUUAGAAAUCUUCCUUCGACUGCAGAUACAAUCUUUGUGAGGCUCUCUGAACCAGGAAAAGGUAUAUUUGACUGGAUGGUGCGGAGAGACGGAAACAGGGAAAAGGCCCCCUCUGGACCAAGUAGACCCAGAAAUGCCUACAAAACGCUCCGUGAACAGGCCAAGUUUCUCUAACAGAUGCGCCCAGCCUGAUCGCCUGGCUGGUGAAGGGCCAUAUGAUAAGCAGGGUUGAGAAUAUCAUUUUUAAACAAAUGAUCACUUAACCGAAUGCUCCAUUACU
ensembl:lncRNA